AUUGAACGCUGGCGGCAUGCCUUACACAUGCGAGUCGAACGGCAGCACGGGUGCUUGCACCUGGUGGCGAGUGGCGAACGGGUGAGUAAUAUAUCGGAACGUACCUUAUUGUGGGGGAUAACGCAGCGAAAGCUGUGCUAAUACCGCAUAAUCCCUAAGGGGGAAAGCGGGGGACCGUAAGGCCUCGCGCAAUUAGAGCGGCCGAUACCUGAUUAGCUAGUUGGUGAGGUAAAGGCUCACCAAGGCAACGAUCAGUAGCUGGUCUGAGAGGACGAUCAGCCACCCUGGGACUGAGACACGGCCCAGACUCCUACGGGAGGCAGCAGUGGGGAAUUUUGGACAAUGGGGGCAACCCUGAUCCAGCAAUGCCGCGUGAGUGAAGAAGGCCUUCGGGUUGUAAAGCUCUUUUGUCAGGGAAGAAACAGCAGCUCUAACACAGUUUGCGAAUGACGGUACCUGAAGAAUAAGCACCGGCUAACUACGUGCCAGCCGCCGCGGUAA
rnacentral:rRNA from 1 species